UACGUAGGGGGCAAGCGUUGCUCGGAAUCACUGGGCGUAAAGGGUGCGUAGGCGGGUCUUUAAGUCAGGGGUGAAAUCCUGGAGCUCAACUCCAGAACUGCCUUUGAUACUGAGGAUCUUGAGUCCGGGAGAGGUGAGUGGAACUGCGAGUGUAGAGGUGAAAUUCGUAGAUAUUCGCAAGAACACCAGUGGCGAAGGCGGCUCACUGGCCCGGUACUGACGCUGAGGUGCGAAAGCGUGGGGAGCAAACAGG
rnacentral:rRNA from 1 species